GCUUGUCUCAAAGAUUAAGCCAUGCAUGUCUAAGUGUAAAUACGUCUACACUGUGAAACUGCGAAUGGCUCAUUAAAUCAGUUAUCGUUUAUUUGAUGAUCUCUUGUUACAUGGAUAACCGUAGUAAUUCUAGAGCUAAUACAUGCUGUAAGCCCGACUUUUCGGAAGGGCCGUAUUUAUUAGAUAACAGACCAAUGCCCCCCCGGGCUUUGUGGUGACUCAUAGUAACUAAUCGGAUCGCAUGGGCCUGUCCCGCGACAAACCAUUCAAGUUUCUGCCCCAUCAGCUUUCGAUGGUAGUGUAUUGGACUACCAUGGCUUUUACGGGUAACGGAGGAUUAGGGUUCGAUUCCGGAGAGGGAGCCUGAGAAACGGCUACCACAUCUAAGGAAGGCAGCAGG
rnacentral:rRNA from 1 species